GUAAUUAUUAUAAUUAUUCAGACGCUGAUUGAAAAUUAAAAAAGGUUUAUAGGUUGUCCAGCCGGCGGGCAAGCCCGCCGAGGAAACAUGAGUACGCAAAAAGACAAGGGUUCAGACAGAGAACGUACUCGCAGGCCAGCAGGCUGGCAAGCUUUCCGCUCCCCCUGAGCAGUAGAGAUCUACUGAGUGUAAUGAUCCUUCCGCAGGUUCACCUACGGAAA
rnacentral:misc_RNA from 1 species